rnacentral:lncRNA from 1 species
ACAGGUCUCACCACCUAUCAACAGGUCUCACAACCUACCCACAGGUCUCACCACCUAUCGACAGGGCUCACCCCCUACCUACAGGUCUCACAACCUACCCACAGGUCUCACAACCUACCCACAGGUCUCACAUCUACCCACAGGUCUCACCACUUAUCGACAGGUCUCACCCCCUACCUACAGGUCUCACAACCUACCCACAGGUCUCACAUCUACCCACAGGUCUCACCCCCUACCAACAGGUCUCACAACCUACCCACAGGUCUCACAACCUACCCACAGGUCUCACCACCUAUCGACAGGUCUCACCCUCUACCAACAGGUCUCACAACCUACCCACAGGUCUCAAAUCUACCCACAGGUCUCACCCCCUACCAACAGGUCUCACAACCUACCCACAGGUCUCACAUCUACCCAUAGGUCUCACCCCCUACCAACAGGUCUCACAACCUACCCACAGGUCUCAAAUCUACCCACAGGUCUCACCCUUACCCACAGGACUCACCACCUACCCACAGGACUCACAUCAUACCCACAGGUCACACAACCUACCCACAGGUCACAUACCCAACCCACAAGUCUCACACCCUACCUACAGGUCUCACCUCCUACCCAUAUCCUACCCACUGGUGAGACUUUGUUUUUAUCACAAGAGGCAGUUUACUACUCAUCACUGCACUCUUUACCAAAAGUUUGGUUGAACCUAUUUAAAGUCACAUAGAUCACAUCAUUACACUCUUUUUG